CAGGAAACCCCACAUGAGCACGUGCACACGGAGCAGCUCCUGGAGAAGCGAGUGCUGCAACUUCAGAACAAGCCCACGGGCACCCAGCUCUGUCCGAUGCUUCUCCCGUGGCCCUUACAUUGAGCAUCCCUGUAGGUCUGACAUAUCUACUGAGCUGACUCAAAGACCUGAGAUGUGAUAGGACAACCGAGGGCAAUCGUCCGUGCAGGAUGGGUCGCCUCUGAUGGCAGGUCGCCCAGCCUAGGUGAGGCCGACACCAAGGGAAGGAGAGGAGAAGACUUGAUAGAGGAGAGACUGAAGCCUUGAUUGAGAUCAGGAACAAACGUUUAUUG
rnacentral:lncRNA from 1 species